UCCAAAAUUUAAAAUAUUUUGAAAAUUAUUCCUUCUGAAAAAUCAUCGCGUUCUUGACCUCGAAGCUGACUGCUGAAUGCGAUUAGGAAAGAAGAUUCCUGAAGAUGCACCAGACUGAUUCUGGCAAGCCGUCUGUCGUCUGGAUAUGCACUGUUGUUCGUCAUGGUCAGCAAUCUUCUACGUUCGUCCUUUCGUUUUCCUGACCACGAUGAUGACAAGCAGCUCUCAUGCUCAGGAUUCUGAAAGCUGGAGCAGCUCUGCUUACCUCGACCACUGAACUUCCAACUAACUUCCAACCAAGUUCAAGGCAGUAUUAUGAUGAAUCAAGCAUGCUUGCCAUCAUUUCGUCAUUGCAAAGUACAUCGACAAUAUAGAUUUGGUGCUAACUAUGUAUGAUGUAGAGUGUGCUCUAUGUAUCUAUACUACUGAUUGGCCUACAUUGUACUUAUGUGGGCUGAGAGUAAUUGAUUGUGCUGUAUGGCAGUUUACUUGCAUGUCAUAGAUGUUCACAUUGCACUCAGCUACUGAAUUGCUUUCUGUUGCACUGCAAAUAGAUUGUAGUGGCAUGGGCCAUGCCAUAAUUAUAUUAGUGUACCGGUACUACACCAACAGUUUCACUGGUGCACUGUACUUACUGGUAGAUCUACAUCAUGCACAGCCUUGUCACUGCUUUUCCCACUUUUUAUUAAUUUACUGUACUGUACACAUUUUGGCACAGCUCUUCCACAGAGAGUUACUAGUAUUUUCUUCUGCAUACCUACUGUAUACAGUGACGUGACUGGUAACAUCUAUGGCUGUGAAAUCACAAAUUUCUGGGUUGACAGUCUCAAACCUAUACGAUUUGUUUCUAAGAACUUGCUAUAACUAUCAUUCUAUUAAAGUAUUCUACUGUGCAAUUACGUAAAGUUUGGAAUACCACUCUUCUGUGAUUUGUAUGUCAAAUUAUGAAAUUCAGUGUGUGAGGUAAG